rnacentral:tRNA from 1 species
ACCUGGGUGGUUCAGUUGGUUAAGCAUCUGACUUCGGCUCAGGUCAUGAUCUCACGGUUUGUGGGUUCGAGCCCCACAUCGGGCU